GAGAACGUGAGGAGAAAACUUUUCUCAACUAUUCUUAUUUGUCAGACUACUCUCACCAAGAAGCGCAUCUAAAAUGUCGAACUCUUCUGGGCAAAAGAAGACAAGUGGAAUAGCUUGUGGCGACGUAUGUCAUGAUAAAAUGUUCAGGUAUAUAGCAUACGUAUUUCGUGCGGUCACGCAAUUGAAUAUCGUAUGCAUCGUUCACGUGCCCAGGCGUAACUAUGUCUUACUCUUUGCAACUGCAUUGGCUUAACAGGCGAAGCAGCCGGUCUUCACUGGCUGAUCACUACAAAGUCUAAAAAGCAAGAAUAAAGAUAAUAUUGAAUU
rnacentral:sRNA from 1 species